CCUCUUGUUUGAACUUUACAUUUUUAUUGCACUGGCACAUUGAUGCAAUGAACUCAUUUUAAUUUGCAGGACCAAGGCCUUUAAGGCACUCUAAGAAGGAAAGCAUUCAAGUACAUUGAAUCCUAAACCUGGAAUGUUUAAAGCAGCCUUGUUAGCCCUGGUGACAAGAAUGACACCAGUCUGUGAAAAGUUAUGGAUUUCCUCUCUACAGCAAGCAGCAGCACACAUCUCUGGGCUGCAGACCUUGAGACAUGCACUCCUGGGACUCAGGAGUCCUCCAGAAAGAGCUGGAUGUGGGAACUCCACAAGGACACAGACACUGUUCUACCUUGGAUGGCUGCCACAUCGUGUGUGCCCAGCAA